AUUGAACGCUGGCGGCAGGCCUAACACAUGCAAGUCGAGCGGAGCGGCGGACGGGUGAGUAAUGCCUAGGAAUCUGCCUGGUAGUGGGGGAUCACGUCCGGAAACGGGCGCUAAUACCGCAUACUAUCAGAUGAGCCUAGGUCGGAUUAGCUAGUUGGUGGGGUAAAGGCCUACCAAGGCGACGAUCCGUAACUGGUCUGAGAGGAUGAUCAGUCAAACGGGAACGGAGACAAGGUGCAGACGCCGAAGGGAGGCAGCAGUGGGGAAUAGGGGACAAGGGGCGAAAGACUGAUCAAGCCAUGCCGCGUGUGUGAAGAAGGGAUGCGGAUUGGAAAGGACUUUAAGUUGGGAGGCGGUACCAACAGAAUAAGCACCGGCUAACUACGUGCCAGCAGCCGCGGUAAUAC
rnacentral:rRNA from 1 species